UACGGGGGGGGCAAGCGUUGUUCGGAAUUAUUGGGCGUAAAGGGCGCGUAGGCGGCUUGAUGUGUCAAAGGUGAAAUCCCUCGGCUCAACUGAGGAACUGCCUUUGAAACUGUCUGGCUUGAGGCCGGGAGAGGGUAGCGGAAUUCCCAGUGUAGCGGUGAAAUGCGUAGAUACUGGGAGGAACACCGGUGGCGAAGGCGGCUACCUGGACCGGUUCUGACGCUGAUGCGCGAAAGCGUGGGUAGCAAACAGG
rnacentral:rRNA from 1 species